rfam:Danio rerio chromosome 2, GRCz11 reference primary assembly.
GGUCACAGCCAUUUCACCCGGCAGCCCAAGAACGGUUUCUCACUGAAGCUAAGCAGAGCUGAGCCUGGUCAGUACCUAGAUGGGAGACCACAUGGGAAAACUAGGUUGCUGCUGGUA